ACUGCCCCUUUUUUUGCCUGCGAAUGGCGGCGAUUUGAAGUUGGGGCUUUUCGUUUCCUCCAAAACAUUGAUAUCUGGAAAGGGAGCCCCUUAACACUUUUGGAGGGAACUGGCUGCAGCAUUUGGCGGGGAGAGAUAAACUGGUUUCCCACCUCUGCUUACUCCCACCUUCUCCCCUUAAUCUUCUCUUCCUCUGUGCGAGACUUUUUUCCUUUUUUAUUGUAGACACAGGGUCUUUGUUCUGCUGCCCAGGUUGGAGUGCAGUGGCGUGAUCAUAGCUCACUGCAGCCUCAACCCCCCGGGCCCAAGCGAUCCUUCCACCUCAGCCUCCCGAGUAGCUGGGCCUAGAGGUGCACACCACCAUGCCUGGCUAAUUUUUAAUUUUUUUUGUAGAGAUGGAGCCUUUCUAUGUUGCCAAGCCUAGCCUCGAACUCCUGGCCUCCCAAAAUGUGGGGAAUACAGGCGUGAGCCACUGCACCCCGGGUCAUUCCUCUUUUACUUCCUUGCUGUACCCCAACUAUCCUUCCCCCUCGGUGCCCUUAAAACCUUUGCAUUGGGUAAGUACAUUUUUUAAAGAGACUCUAGAAUUGGGCGCCAGUCUCCAAUUAAAAUUGUGAAGCUUUAUGGUCUGCGUAUCAAAAGGAACCUCAGUUCCUUAAAAAUCCUGUCAUUUUGCCUUUAGGACUUAACGGUAAUAGAAUGGCAUUCCUCACUGCCUCCGAACCACUCAAGCUGCUGCCCAUGCACUCUCUUCUGCAUGGCUCCUGGACUAAGCAGCCUCCCUUUGAUUAAGCAGAGGAAACUGAGAUGCCAAAUGAUUAAAUAAAUUCUCCAGGGUCAUCCCACCUAGUAAGUGAAGAUGCUGGACUCACAAGUCAGG
rnacentral:lncRNA from 10 species